UGAGUAACACGUAUCCAACCUGCCGAUAACUCCGGGAUAGCCUUUCGAAAGAAAGAUUAAUACCGGAUGGCAUACGAAUAUCGCAUGAUAUUUUUAUUAAAGAAUUUCGGUUAUCGAUGGGGAUGCGUUCCAUUAGUUUGUUGGCGGGGUAACGGCCCACCAAGACUACGAUGGAUAGGGGUUCUGAGAGGAAGGUCCCCCACAUUGGAACUGAGACACGGUCCAAACUCCUACGGGAGGCAGCAGUGAGGAAUAUUGGUCAAUGGGCGAGAGCCUGAACCAGCCAAGUAGCGUGAAGGAUGAAGGCUCUAUGGGUCGUAAACUUCUUUUAUAUGGGAAUAAAGUUUUCCACGUGUGGAAUUUUGUAUGUACCAUAUGAAUAAGGAUCGGCUAACUCCGUGCCAGCAGCCGCGGUAAUACGGAGGAUCCGAGCGUUAUCCGGAUUUAUUGGGUUUAAAGGGAGCGUAGGUGGAUUGUUAAGUCAGUUGUGAAAGUUUGCGGCUCAACCGUAAAAUUGCAGUUGAAACUGGCAGUCUUGAGUACAGUAGAGGUGGGCGGAAUUCGUGGUGUAGCGGUGAAAUGCUUAGAUAUCACGAAGAACUCCGAUUGC
rnacentral:rRNA from 1 species